rnacentral:lncRNA from 1 species
ACAUUGACUCUGAGAAAGGGACGUGAAAUAGCUUUCCUGAUUGGAUAUCUUGGAAAGAUAUCUGUAUAAAGUAGCUUAUGAAUUUCACUUCCUAUGAUAGAGAUCACAAAGUCUGCAGAAAUCUCAGAGGUGGAACAGUCAUUUCGAUGAUAUGAUCAAAUUAUUUGAUCAAGAAUGAGAAGAAUUAUGUGUUUACAUAAAGGUC